AGUCACUGACAUUAGAUACCCGGGUAGUCCCGGCCGUAAACUAUGCGCGUUAGGUGUACUGGUGACCACGAGUCACCGGGUGCCGAAGGGAAACCGUGAAACGUGCCGCCUGGGAAGUACGGUCGCAAGGAUGAAACUUAAAGGAAUUGGCGGGGGAGCACCGCAACGGGAGGAGCGUGCGGUUUAAUUGGAUUCAACACCGGAAACUCACCAGUGAAGACUGUUACAUGAAAGCCAGGCUGAUGACCUUGCUAGAUUUUCAG
rnacentral:rRNA from 1 species